rnacentral:rRNA from 1 species
GACGAACGCUGGCGGCGUGCUUAACACAUGCAAGUCGAACGAGAGAGCCCUUCGGGGUAAGUACAGUGGCGAACGGGUGAGUAACACGUGGGCAACCUGCCCCGGAGAGCGGGACAACCCGAGGAAACUCGGGCUAAUACCGCAUGAUGCGUCUCCACUUAAGUGGAGCCGCCAAAUGGUAGCUUCGGCCUCCGCUCUGGGAUGGGCCCGCGCCGGAUUAGCUAGUUGGUUGGGGUAAUGGCCCACCAAGGCGACGAUCCGUAGCUGGCCUGAGAGGACGAUCAGCCACACUGGGACUGAGACACGGCCCAGACACCUACGGGAGGCAGCAGUGGGGAAUCUUGCGCAAUGGGCGAAAGCCUGACGCAGCAACGCCGGGUGAGGGAAGAAGGCCUUCGGGUUGUAAACCUCUUUCAGUAGGGACGAAGCUUCCGGGGUUAAUAGCCCACGGGGUGACGGUACCUACAGAAGAAGCCCCGGCUAACUACGUGCCAGCAGCCGCCGCCG